GAUGAACGCUGGCGGCGUGCCUAAUACAUGCAAGUCGAGCGAACGGACGAGAAGCUUGCUUCUCUGAUGUAAGCGGCGGACGGGUGAGUAACACGUGGAUAACCUACCUAUAAGACUGGGAUAACUUCGGGAAACCGGAGCUAAUACCGGAUAAUAUUUUGAACCGCAUGGUUCAAAAGUGAAAGACGGUCUUGCUGUCACUUAUAGAUGGAUACGCGCUGCAUUAGCUAGUUGGUAAGGUAACGGCUUACCAAGGCAACGAUGCAUAGCCGACCUGAGAGGGUGAUCGGCCACACUGGAACUGAGACACGGUCCAGACUCCUACGGGAGGCAGCAGUAGGGAAUCUUCCGCAAUGGGCGAAAGCCUGACGGAGCAACGCCGCGUGAGUGAUGAAGGUCUUCGGAUCGUAAAACUCUGUUAUUAGGGAAGAACAUAUGUGUAAGUAACUGUGCACAUCUUGACGGUACCUAAUCAGAAAGCCACGGCUAACUACGUG
rnacentral:rRNA from 1 species